UGCGUAGGGCGCAAGCGUUAUCCGGAAUUAUUGGGCGUAAAGAGCUCGUAGGUGGUUUGUCGCGUUGUUCGUGAAAACUCACAGCUUAACUGUGGGCGUGCGGGCGAUACGGGCAGACUGGAGUACUGCAGGGGAGACUGGAAUUCCUGGUGUAGCGGUGGAAUGCGCAGAUAUCAGGAGGAACACCGGUGGCGAAGGCGGGUCUCUGGGCAGUAACUGACGCUGAGGAGCGAAAGCGUGGGGAGCAAACAGG
rnacentral:rRNA from 1 species